AUUGAACGCUGGCGGCAGGCCUAACACAUGCAAGUCGAGCGGAGCGGCUGACGGGUGAGUAAUGCCUAGGUAUCUGCCCUGCCGUGUGGGAUAGCGUCCGGAUACGGGCGCUAAUCUCGCAUACUAUCAGAUUCACCUUGGUCGGGUUAGCUCGUGGGUGGGGUAAAGGCCUACCAAGGCGACGAUCCGUAACUGGCCUGAUAGGAUGACCAGUCAAACUGGAACUGAGACACGGUCCAGACUCCUACGGGAGGCAGCAGUGGGGAAUAUUGGACAAGGGGCGAAAGCCUGACCCAGCCAUGCCGCGUGUGUGAAGAAGGUCUUCGGAUUGUAAAGCACUUUAAGUGGGGAGGCGUUACCAACAGAAUAAGCACCGGCUAACUACGUGCCAGCAGCCGCGGUAAUUC
rnacentral:rRNA from 1 species